rnacentral:rRNA from 1 species
UACGAAGGGGGCUAGCGUUGUUCGGAAUUACUGGGCGUAAAGCGCACGUAGGCGGAUAUUUAAGUCAGGGGUGAAAUCCCAGAGCUCAACUCUGGAACUGCCUUUGAUACUGGGUAUCUUGAGUAUGGAAGAGGUAAGUGGAAUUGCGAGUGUAGAGGUGAAAUUCGUAGAUAUUCGCAGGAACACCAGUGGCUGAAGGCGCUUACUGGCCAUCUGACGCUGAGGUGCGAAAGCGUGGGGGAGCAAACAGG